UCCGUACAGUUUUCUAACUCA
rnacentral:piRNA from 1 species